GGGGAUCUAUGGGGCGGGGGGAUCUAUGGGGCGGGGGAUCUAUGGGGCGGGGGAUCUAUGGGGUCUCUUCAAUCCCCCCCCCCUGCCCCAUUGCAGGUCCCAGUGAUGCUUCCUCCCCACAAGUGGUGGCUGAGAGUGACGUGGAUGAAGCCGAUGUGACCCCAAACCUGGGAGGCCCCAAAAAGCUCCUUUUUGACCCCAAAAAUCCCAUUAAUCGACCCCAAAACCGUCCCCAUAGGAGCCAUAAGGGGGCCCCAUUGACCCCAGACCCACAUAUAGGGGACCCUAUAAAGGACCCUAUAAAGGACCCUAUAAGGGACCCUAUAUUGGAUCCUAUAAGGGACCCUAUAAGAGACCCCAUAAGGGACCCCAUAAGUGACCCUAUAAGGGAUCCCAUAAGGGACCCUAUAGGGGACACUAUAAGGGACCCUAUAGGGGACACUAUAAGGGACCCCAUAAGUGAUCCCAUAAGGGAUCCUAUAAGAGACCCUAUAGGAGACCCUAUAAAGGACCCUAUAAGGGACCCUAUAGGGGACACUAUAAGGGACCCCAUAAGAGACCCCAUAAGAGACCCCAUAAGUGACCCUAUAAAGGACCCUAUAAUGGAUCCUAUAAGGGACCCCAUAAGAGACCCCAUAAGUGACCCUAUAAGGGACCCUAUAAAGGACCCUAUAAAGGACCCUAUAAAGGACCCUAUAAUGGACCCUAUAGGAGACCCUAUAAGGGACCCUAUAUUGGAUCCAAUAAGGGACCCUAUAAUGGACCCUAUAUUGGACCCUAUAAAGGACCCUAUAGGAGACCCUAUAAGGGACCCUAUAAAGGACCCUAUAAGGGACCCUAAAGAGCCCAGCAAUGGAUUUGGGGUGACGGAGGGGGAUGAUAUAGGGGCUGAGAGACCCCAUAAGGGCCAAGAGUUGGAUAAUGAGGGGGAUAUGGGGUCUAUGGGGCGGCCCCAUAAGCAUCAGCAGACCCCAAACCCACCCUAUAGGGGUCCUGGGUUUAUAGGGGGCGGCCAUAAGGAUAUAGGGGAUUUAUUUAGGAUCGACAGCGAUACGGAUGGGGACGAGGACAUUGAGUCUAUGGGGCGCCCCAUAGGGACCCCAAAAGGCUUCAAUGGGGCUGAUGGGGGGAUGGAGACCCCAAAUCCAGACCCUAAAGACCCCAUAAGACCCCAUAGACCCCAUAAGGAUCCAGCUGUGCCUAUGGAGACCCCAAAAGACCCUAAAGACCCCAUAAGACCCCAUAGACCCCAUAAACCCCAUAAGGACCCAGGAGACAUCAGAGACCCCAACGAGGACGGCGGAGCCAAAGCAGAAGUGGGUGGAGCUAAAGCAAAAGGAGGCGGAGCUAAGGCAGAAAGAGGCGGGGCUACGGCAGAAGUGGGCGUGGCUACGAUAAGCCCCGCCCCCUUGCGCCGCAGUCUCCGCCUAUUGGCCAAGCUCCUCCCACCUGACCCCGGAAGUGGGCGUGGCCAAGAAGAGCCCCGCCCCCAGAGGGGAGGCCACGCCCCUCCUCGUAAGAAAGCACGGCUCCGCCCACCGGAGGAGGAGCCUGAUGACGUCACCGGGCCUAAGCUCCGCCCACGAGGAAGCUCCGCCUCCUCUGGCCCCAAGGUUUGAGCCCCAUACCCCCCCCAUAGACCCCAUAGAGACCCCAUAGACCCCAUAGAGCCCCAUAUCCCCCCCAUAGAGCCCCAUAUCCCCCCCAUAGACCCCAUAUAGA
rnacentral:lncRNA from 1 species